rnacentral:lncRNA from 1 species
UUGUACAAGAAUCUCUCACUGAAAAGCCCUAAAAUCUUCAUAAAAACUUUCUGAAAUAUCUCUUAAAGCCUUUUUACACCUUCAAGACGUCAGUAGCUCUCCAACAGAAUAAACGGCUUAUCAAUCAAAGCUAUAUAGGCUCCAGAAUCAUAAAAAUAUUAUUUUAGUAGGAAUAGAGAGUUCCAAUCAAACCUAAAACCAUCUGUGGCCAUUUGAUCAUCAUCGGCUCGCACCAAAGCCGUC